GGAAACUGAAAAAAGGAUGCAUCUCCAUAAAAAAGUACUCAUAUUUGAUGUAUUAAUCCAAAGUAAAAUCGGCAAAACUUUGAUCCCAAAAGUAAACACAUGCUUGCACUGCCAUCGGAGGAUUUAUAGGAACUAUAGAUCUCCAAAAGGCGGGACAAGGAAGUUUAAAUGCAAACAAUACAAAAAUACCCUAACAAACUUUUUGCAAGUGUCCAGAUUCCGAAUUAUAAAGGAAUUUGCAUGUAGACGAUUUAUCUCUUCUUGGAGACACCAACAGUCUUUCCCCUGCGACCAGUGGUCUUUGUGUGCUGACCGCGAACACGGAGGCCCCAGUAGUGACGCAAACCACGGUGAUUCCUGAUCUUCUUCAGCCUUUCCAAGUCAUCCCUAAGUUUCAUGUCAAGGGCAUUAGAAGUAACUUGGGAAAACUUGCCAUCCUUGUAAUCCUUCUGCCUGUUCAAAAACCAAUCUGGGAUUUUGAAUUGGCGAGGAUUAGCCACAACUACCAUCAAGCUGUCAAGCUCUGCAGCAGUAAGUUCACCAGCCCUCUUGUUCAUAUCGAUAUCGGCUUUUUUGCAAGCAAUGUUAGCAAAACGGCGACCGAUACCUUUGAUAGAGGUCAUAGCGAACAUGAUCUUCUGCUUUCCAUCAACAUUUGUGUUUUGCACACGAAGAAUGUGCUGAAAAUCUUCGUUCGCAACCAGAGACAUGGCUAGGGUUUCACUGUGUUACACUGCGGCUGCUGCUUUUGUUUUGGAAGAGAUGCCAAGCUCUUAGAAAACCCUAAAUACGGAGAAGUGUACGUCU
rnacentral:misc_RNA from 1 species